rnacentral:rRNA from 1 species
ACUCCUACGGGAGGCAGCAGUGGGGAAUAUUGCACAAUGGGCGCAAGCCUGAUGCAGCCAUGCCGCGUGUAUGAAGAAGGCCUCGGUUGUAAAGUACUUUCAGCAGUGAGGAAGGUGGGUAUGUUAAUAGCAUACUCAUUUGACGUUAGCUGCAGAAGAAGCACCGGCUAACUCCGUGCCAGCAGCCGCGGUAAUACGGAGGGUGCGAGCGUUAAUCGGAAUUACUGGGCGUAAAGCGCAUGCAGGUGGUUUGUUAAGUCAGAUGUGAAAGCCCGGGGCUCAACCUCGGAAUUGCAUUUGAAACUGGCAAACUAGAGUACUGUAGAGGGGGUAGAAUUUCAGGUGUAGCGGUGAAAUGCGUAGAGAUCUGAAGGAAUACCGGUGGCGAAGGCGGCCCCCUGGACAGAUACUGACACUCAGAUGCGAAAGCGUGGGGAGCAAACAGGAUUAGAU